AUUCCACAGAGACUGAAGUUUGAAACACAAAAUACAAAACGUUGAGACAAAAUGUAACAAUGCUUGUGGGGGCAGGGGUUAAGAGAAGAGUAUGGAUUUUCUCAAGCAUGCUAAGAACCCAAAAACCUUAAAAUAUUUACCUUUGAACAAACACCGACAACCAAGCCGAGGACAAACGUGUAGAAAAUGGACCAAACUUGUGACACCCAAGAGGCCUCUGCAGCUCGGCCUCGGGUCCGUGAGAGGCCACACCGGCAGGCCCUUUAAGGCAAAAUGAAAAGCACGCAGCUUCCUUUCCAAGUUCUCUACUUUGCACUAAUAAAAGCACCUACCAUAAGGAUAUUUAUACAAAAAAUGUUUUCUGUCUGCCCGGGUGUGGGUCGACCCUUGCUUGCCCCUGUGACACCCUUAUGUGAGGAGACCCCGCGAGCCACGAGACCCGCAGCAGACUCGCGAUUCUUCCAAAGCGCAUGCGCCGGGUGCCGCAGCACGUGCCACGCACAGCAACACUGCGCAGGCGCUGUUGCACGCCCCAGUCAAGGCGUCUGGUUGGGACAGGAGCGCUCUCCGCAGGUUACGACCGUUGGCGGGUUGGGCGUUGGCCACCCCCAAAGCUUCUGACGAUGUAGCCGAGUGCGGGCAUCCUGGCCGUGUCCUUUGGGGCUAGGUCUUAGCUGGCAGCUGCCGGGGUGCCAAAGCCCCAGGAAGUACCAGAGGCACCUGUGGCGCAGGCCUGAUGGAGACCCAGCCCCCCCCUCACACUUGGGGGGCACUGAAAGUGAAACUGGCCAAACAGAUGGCCUUGGGG